rnacentral:lncRNA from 1 species
UUUCCUGCUAACAUCUUCGGCGUUGUAUCAAGACCUUCGUAUUAUCCUGGUCUUCUCUCUGCCGUGAUACCGACUUGAGUCCGAAGGUACCUGCUCACACAUUAUACUUCCAGAAAUACUGUUAAAUUCUGUUUUUGAGGACCUUCGGAUGCCGAAGGUCCCCAACAUGGUCUCCACCAUAAAUCCAAGAAUGUGAUCUAUGGCAAGGAAACAUAUGUGUAGUGAGGUGUAUGAGCCUCUGGUCGAAGAUCAAUGGCCACACAACCCCCAUUUUUGUCGAAAAUAGCCAUGAAUGACCAUUUUCAAAAAUACCAAAGGCUAACACAUUCGGAUUUUUGCCCAAGAAAUGGUCUCCACCAGAAAUCCAAGAAUGUGAUCUAUGGCAAGGAAACAUAUGUGGGGUGAGGUGUACGAGCCUCUGGUCGAUGAUCAAUGGCCACAGAACCCCCAUUUUGCCGAAAAUAGCCAUGAACGACCAUUUUCAAUAAUACCGAAGGCUAACACGUACGAGUUUUUGACCAAGAAAUGGUCUCCACCAAAAAUCCAAGAAUGUGAUCUAUGGCAAGGAAACAUAUGUGGGGUGAGAUUUAUGAGCCUCUAGUCGAUGAUAAAUGGCCACACAACCCCAUUUUUUAUGAAAAUAGCCAUGAGCGACCAUUUCAAUAAUAUUAGAGGCUAAGACCUACGGAUUUUUGACCAAGAAAUGGUCUCCACCAGAAAUCCAAGAAUGUGAUCUAUGGCAAGGAAACAUAUGUGGGGUGAGGUGUAUGAGCCUCUGGUCGAUGAUCAAUGGCCACACAACCCCCAUUUUUGUCGAAAAUAGCCAUGAAUGACCAUUUACAAUAAUACCGAAGGCUAACACCUACGGAUUUUUGACCAAGAAAUGGUCUCCACCAGAAAUCCAAGAAUGUGAUCUAUGGCAAGGAAACAUAUGUGGGGUGAGGUGUAUGAGCCUCUGGUCGAUGAUCAAUGGCCACACAACCCCCAUUUUUGUCGAAAAUAGCCAUGAACGACCAUUUUCAAUAAUAUCGAAGGCUAACACCUAUGGAUUUUUGACCAAGAAAUGGUCUCCACCAGAAAUCCAAGAAUGUGAUCUACGACAAGGAAACAUAUGUGGGGUGAGGUGUAUGAGCCUCUGGUCGACGAUCAAUGGCCACACAACCCCCAUUUUGCCGAAAAUAGCCAUGAAUGACCAUUUUCAAUAAUACCGAAAGCUAACACGUACGAGUUUUUAACCAAGAAAUGGUUUCCACCAGAAAUCCAAGAAUGUAAUCUAUGGCAAGGAAACAUAUGUGGGGUGAGGUUUAUGAGCCUCUAGUCGAUGAUAAAUGGCCACACAACCCCCAUUUUUUAUGAAAAUAGCCAUGAGCGACCUUGAAAAUAGCCAUGAGCGACCAUUUCAAUAAUACUAGAGGCUAACACCUACGGAUUUUAGACCAAGAAAUGGUCUCCACCAGAAAUCCAAGAAUGUGAUCUAUGGCAAGGAAACAUAUGUGGGGUGAGGUGUAUGAGCGUCUGGUCGAUGAUCAAUGGCCACACAACCCCCAUUUUUGUCGAAAAUAGCCAUGAACGACCAUUUUCAAUAAUACCGAAGGCUAACACCUACGGAAUUUUGACCAAGAAAUGGUCUCCAGCAGAAAUCCAAGAAUGUGAUCUAUGGCAAGGAAACAUAUGUGGGGUGAGGUGUAUGAGCCUCUGGUCGACGAUCAAUGGCCACACAACCCCCAUUUUUGUCGAAAAUAGCCAUGAGCGACCUUGAAAAUAGCCAUGAGCGACCAUUUUCAAUAAUACUAGAGGCUAACACCUACGGAUUUUAGACCAAGAAAUGGUCUCCACCAGAAAUCCAAGAAUGUGAUCUAUGGCAAGGAAACAUAUGUGGGGUGAGGUGUAUGAGCGUCUGGUCGAUGAUCAAUGGCCACACAACCCCCAUUUUUGUCGAAAAUAGCCAUGAACGACCAUUUUCAAUAAUACCGAAGGCUAACACCUACGGAUUUUUGACCAAGAAAUGGUCUCCACCAGAAAUCCAAGAAUGUGAUCUAUGGCAAGUAAACAUAUGUGGGGUGAGGUGUAUGAGCCUCUGGUCGAUGAUCAAUGGCCACACAACCCCCAUUUUUGUCGAAAAUAGCCAUGAACGACCAUUUUCAAUAAUAUCGAAGGCUAACACCUACGGAUUUUUGACCAAGAAAUGGUCUCCACUAGAAAUCCAAGAAUGUGAUCUACGACAAGGAAACAUAUGUGGGGUGAGGUGUAUGAGCCUCUGGUCGACGAUCAAUGGCCACACAACCCCCAUUUUGCCGAAAAUAGCCAUGAAUGACCAUUUUCAAUAAUAUCGAAGGCUAACACCUACGGAUUUUUGACCAAGAAAUGGUCUCCACCAGAAAUCCAAGAAUGUGAUCUACGACAAGGAAACAUAUGUGGGGUGAGGUGUAUGAGCCUCUGGUCGACGAUCAAUGGCCACACAACCCCCAUUUUGCCGAAAAUAGCCAUGAAUGACCAUUUUCAAUAAUACCGAAGGCUAACACGUACGAGUUUUUAACCAAGAAAUGGUUUCCACCAGAAAUCCAAGAAUGUAAUCUAUGGCAAGGAAACAUAUGUGGGGUGAGGUUUAUGAGCCUCUAGUCGAUGAUAAAUGGCCACACAACCCCCAUUUUUUAUGAAAAUAGCCAUGAGCGACCUUGAAAAUAGCCAUGAGCGACCAUUUUCAAUAAUACUAGAGGCUAACACCUACGGAUUUUAGACCAAGAAAUGGUCUCCACCAGAAAUCCAAGAAUGUGAUCUAUGGCAAGGAAACAUAUGUGGGGUGAGGUGUAUGAGCGUCUGGUCGAUGAUCAAUGGCCACACAACCCCCAUUUUUGUCGACAAUAGCCAUGAACGACCAUUUUCAAUAAUACCGAAGGCUAACACCUACGGAUUUUUGACCAAGAAAUGGUCUCCACCAGAAAUCCAAGAAUGUGAUCUAUGGCAAGGAAACAUAUGUGGGGUGAGGUGUAUGAGCCUCUGGUCGAUGAUCAAUGGCCACACAACCUCCAUUUUUGUCGAAAAUAGCCAUGAACGACCAUUUUCAAUAAUAUCGAAGGCUAACACCUACUGAUUUUUGACCAAGAAAUGGUCUCCACCAGAAAUCCAAGAAUGUGAUCUACGACAAGGAAACAUAUGUGGGGUGAGGUGUAUGAGCCUCUGGUCGACGAUCAAUGGCCACACAACCCCCAUUUUGCCGAAAAUAGCCAUGAAUGACCAUUUUCAAUAAUAUCGAAGGCUAACACCUACGGAUUUUUGACCAAGAAAUGGUCUCCACCAGAAAUCCAAGAAUGUGAUCUACGACAAGGAAAAAUAUGUGGGGUGAGGUGUAUGAGCCUCUGGUCGACGAUCAAUGGCCACACAACCCCCAUUUUGCCGAAAAUAGCCAUGAAUGACCAUUUUCAAUAAUACCGAAGGCUAACACGUACGAGUUUUUAACCAAGAAAUGGUUUCCACCAGAAAUCCAAGAAUGUAAUCUAUGGCAAUGAAACAUAUGUGGGGUGAGGUUUAUGAGCCUCUAGUCGAUGAUAAAUGGCCACACAACCCCCAUUUUUUAUGAAAAUAGCCAUGAGCGACCUUGAAAAUAGCCAUGAGCGACCAUUUUCAAUAAUACUAGAGGCUAACACCUACGGAUUUUAGACCAAGAAAUGGUCUCCACCAGAAAUCCAAGAAUGUGAUCUAUGGCAAGGAAACAUAUGUGGGGUGAGGUGUAUGAGCGUCUGGUCGAUGAUCAAUGGCCACACAACCCCCAUUUUUGUCGAAAAUAGCCAUGAACGACCAUUUUCAAUAAUACCGAAGGCUAACACCUACGAUUUUUUACCAAGAAAUGGUCUCCACCAGAAAUCCAAGAAUGUGAUCUAUGGCAAGGAAACAUAUGUGGGGUGAGGUGUAUGAGCCUCUAGUCGAUGAUCAAUGGCCACACAACCCCCAUUUUUGUCGAAAAUAGCCAUGAAUGACCAUUUUCAAAAAUACCAAAGGCUAACACGUACGGAUUUUUAACCAAGAAAUGGUCUCCACCAGAAAUCCAAGAAUGUGAUCUAUGGCAAGGAAACAUAUGUGGGGUGAGGUGUACGAGCCUCUAAUCGAUGAUCAAUGGCCACACAACCCCCAUUUUGCCGAAAAUAGCCAUGAAUGACCAUUUUCAAUAAUACCGAAGGCUAACACGUACGAGUUUUUAACCAAGAAAUGGUCUCCACCAGAAAUCCAAGAAUGUGAUCUAUGGCAAGGAAACAUAUGUGGGGUGAGGUGUAUGAGCGUCUGGUCGAUGAUCAAUGGCCACACAACCCCCAUUUUUGUCGAAAAUAGCCAUGAACGACCAUUUUCAAUAAUACCGAAGGCUAACACCUACGGAUUUUUGACCAAGAAAUGGUCUCCACCAGAAAUCCAAGAAUGUGAUCUAUGGCAAGGAAACAUAUGUGGGGUGAGGUGUAUGAGCCUCUGGUCGACGAUCAAUGGCCACACAACCCUAAUUUUUGUCGAAAAUAGCCAUGAACGACCAUUUUCAAUGACAUUGAAGGCUAACACCUACGGAUUUUUGACCAAGAAAUGGUCUCCACCAUAAAUCCAAGAAUGUGAUCUAUGGCAAGGAAACAUAUGUGUAGUGAGGUGUAUGAGCCUCUGGUCGAUGAUCAAUGGCCACACAACCCCCAUUUUUGUCGAAAAUAGCCAUGAAUGACCAUUUACAAUAAUACCGAAGGCUAACACCUACGGAUUUUUGACCAAGAAAUGGUCUCCACCAGAAAUCCAAGAAUAUGAUCUAUGGCAAGGAAACAUAUGUGGGGUGAGGUGUAUGAGCCUCUGGUCGACGAUCAAUGGCCACACAACCCCCAUUUUGCCGAAAAUAGCCAUGAAUGACCAUUUUCAAUAAUACCGAAGGCUAACACGUACGAGUUUUUAACCAAGAAAUGGUCUCCACCAGAAAUCCAAGAAUGUAAUCUAUGGCAAGGAAACAUAUGUGGGGUGAGGUUUAUGAGCCUCUAGUCGAUGAUAAAUGGCCACACAAGAGCCAUUUUUUAUGAAAAUAGCCAUGAGCGACCAUUUUCAAUAAUACUAGAGGCUAACACCUACGGAUUUUAGACCAAGAAAUGGUCUCCACCAGAAAUCCAAGAAUGUGAUCUAUGGCAAGGAAACAUAUGUGGGGUGAGGUGUAUGAGCGUCUGGUCGAUGAUCAAUGGCCACACAACCCCCAUUUUUGUCGAAAAUAGCCAUGAAUGACCAUUUUCAAUAAUACCGAAGGCUAACACCUACAGAUUUUUGACCAAGAAAUGGUCUCCACCAGAAAUCCAAGAAUGUGAUCUAUGGCAAGGAAACAUAUGUGGGGUGAGGUGUAUGAGCCUCUAGUCGAUGAUCAAUGGCCACACU